UUAAGCAUAUCAAUAAGCGGAGGAAAAGAAACCAACAGGGAUUGCCCUAGUAACGGCGAGUGAAGCGGCAACAGCUCAAAUUUGAAAUCUGGCGCAAGCCCGAGUUGUAAUUUGUAGAGGAUGCUUCUGGGUAGCGACCGAUCUAAGUUCCUUGGAACAGGACGUCAUAGAGGGUGAGAAUCCCGUAUGUGACCGGCCCGCACCCUUUACGUAGCUCCUUCGACGAGUCGAGUUGUUUGGGAAUGCAGCUCUAAAUGGGAGGUAAAUUUCUUCUAAAGCUAAAUACCGGCCAGAGACCGAUAGCGCACAAGUAGAGUGAUCGAAAGAUGAAAAGUACUUUGGAAAGAGAGUUAAAAAGCACGUGAAAUUGUUGAAAGGGAAGCGCCUGCAACCAGACUUCGCGGCAGUGUUCCGCCGGUCUUCUGACCGGUUCAUUCUCUGUCGCGAGGCCAUCAUCGUCUGGGCCCGCCGGAUAAGACCUUAGGAAUGUAGCUCACCUUCGGGGGAGUGUUAUAGCCUAGGGUGAUGCGGCGAGGCUCGGGCGAGGUCCGCGCUUCGGCAAGGAUGAUGGCGUAAUGGUUGUCGGCGGCCCGUCUUGAAACACGGACCAAGGAGUCUAACAUCUAUGCGAGUGUUCGGGUGUCAAACCCCUACGCGUAAUGAAAGUGAACGGAGGUGGGAACCGCAAGGUGCACCAUCGACCGAUCCUGAUGUCCUCGGAUGGAUUUGAGUAAGAGCAUAGCUGUUGGGACCCGAAAGAUGGUGAACUAUGCCUGAAUAGGGUGAAGCCAGAGGAAACUCUGGUGGAGGCUCGCAGCGGUUCUGACGUGCAAAUCGAUCGUCAAAUUUGGGUAUAGGGGCGAAAGACUAAUCGAACCAUCUAGUAGCUGGUUCCUGCCGAAGUU
rnacentral:rRNA from 1 species